GAUGAAGAACGUAGCGAAAUGCGAUACUUGGUGUGAAUUGCAGAAUCCCGUGAACCAUCGAGUCUUUGAACGCAAGUUGCGCCCGAAGCCAUCAGGUUGAGGGCACGUCUGCCUGGGCGUCACAUAUCUUUGCCCAAUGCCUAUUGCAGUGCAAUAGGAAUUUCUAGGGCGAAUGAUGGCUUCCCGUGAGCGUUGUUGCCUCGCGGUUGGUUGAAAAUCGAGUCCUUGGUAGGGUGUGCCAUGGUAGAUGGUGGUCGAGUUAGAACGAUACCGAUCAUGUGCAUGCUCCCCAAAAUAUGGCCUCUAUGACCCACACGCGUCUUUUGACGCUCAUGACGAGACCUCAGGUCAGGCGGGGCUACCCGCUGAAUUUAAGCAUAUCAAUAAGCGGAGGA
rnacentral:misc_RNA from 1 species